rnacentral:pre_miRNA from 1 species
GGUCCUUAAGCGUAGGAUCCCUUAGCUUUUAACUAAAAAGACUAAGGAACGACCCUUAAAUAAGGGAUUUGAGAGAAAUCCCUUAGCGUUUUUAGUUAAAAGUUAAGGGACCCUACGCUUAAGGGCC